UGACGAAGGGGGCUAGCGUUGUUCGGAUUUACUGGGCGUAAAGCGCACGUUAGGCGGAUCGUUAAGUCGGGGUGAAAUCCUGGAGCUCAACUCCAGAACUGCCUUCGAUACUGGCGAUCUUGAGUCCGGAAGAGGUGAGUGGAACUCCUAGUGUAGAGGUGGAAUUCGUAGAUAUUGGGAAGAACACCGGUGGCGAAGGCGGCUCACUGGCUCGUAACUGACGCUCGAUGCACGACA
rnacentral:rRNA from 1 species